UACGAAGGGGGCUAGCGUUGUUCGGAAUUACUGGGCGUAAAGCGCACGUAGGCGGAUCGGCAAGUCAGGGGUGAAAUCCCGGGGCUCAACCUCGGAACUGCCUCUGAUACUGCCAGUCUAGAGUCCGGAAGAGGUGGGUGGAAUUCCUAGUGUAGAGGUGAAAUUCGCAGAUAUUAGGAAGAACACCGGUGGCGAAGGCGGCCCACUGGUCCGGUACUGACGCUGAGGUGCGAAAGCGUGGGGAGCAAACAGG
rnacentral:rRNA from 1 species